UGCGGUCAGCUCCUCUCAAACGAAUCAGCUUGCCAGUGUUUGGUGGCAACACAGGUGUGAUAAAUAUCUACAUUUGUGGUUUUCUGCCAGAUAACCUUCAGUGAUGGAGGUUCGCUGCAGCUCAUAAACGUCUCUCCUCAGUGAAGACAGCUCUGUGAAUGUUUGAUCUCAAAUCAGGUAGGACUACCCGCUGAACUUAA
rnacentral:misc_RNA from 1 species